AUAACGACUCUCGGCAACGGAUAUCUAGGCUCUCGCAUCGAUGAAGAACGUAGCGAAAUGCGAUACUUGGUGUGAAUUGCAGAAUGCCGUGAACCAUCGAGUUUUUGAACGCAAGUUGCGCCCGAAGCCAUUUGGCCGAGGGCACGUCUGCCUGGGCGUCACGC
rnacentral:rRNA from 1 species